rnacentral:rRNA from 1 species
GGUCAAGCGAACAAGGGCGCACGGUGGAUGCCCUGGCGUCAGGAGGCGAUGAAGGACGUGGCAGGCUGCGAUAAGCUCCGGUGAGCCGCCUAACAGGCUUUGACCCGGAGAUUUCCGAAUGGGGAAACCCCCCGCGGCAAACCCGCGGGAUCCGUCACUGAAUACAUAGGUGCCGGAAGCCAACGAGGGGAACUGAAACAUCUAAGUACCCUCAGGAAGAGAAAGCAACCGCGAUUCCCCUAGUAGUGGCGAGCGAACGGGGAUCAGCCUAAACCCGGCUUAUGCCAAGCCCGCAAGCGUUGUAGGCCGGGGGUUGCGGGUUCUGUUUGGGCGGAUUUGCGGAUCCGCCGGGAAGUCAAAAACCGGUACCGUAGUCGAAGCGGCUGGAAAGCCGAUCCAUAGAGGGUGAUAGGCCCGUAGGCGAAACGGCACCGGCUUCCUGGAACAGAUACCCAAGUACCGCGGGGCACGAGAAACCCCGCGGGAAUCCGGGAGGACCAUCUUCCAAGGCUAAAUACUACCUGACGACCGAUAGUGCACUAGUACCGUGAGGGAAAGGUGAAAAGAACCCCAGCGAGGGGAGUGAAAUAGAACCUGAAACCGUGUGCCUACAAACAGUGGUAGCCCUAUGUCGGCGGCUUGCCGUCGACAGGGUGACCGCGUGCCUUUUGCAUAAUGAGUCAGCGAGUUACCUUACGUGGCAAGGUUAAGCCGGAAGGUGGAGCCGUAGCGAAAGCGAGUCCGAAACGGGCGACAUAGUCACGUGGGGUAGACCCGAAACCAGGUGAUCUACCCAUGGCCAGGAUGAAGCAGGUGUAAAAACCUGUGGAGGUCCGA